rnacentral:rRNA from 1 species
AUACAUGCAAGUCGAACGCGCAGCGAAAGGUGCUUGCACCUUUCAAGCGAGUGGCGAACGGGUGAGUAACACGUGGAUAACCUGCCUCAAGGCUGGGGAUAACAUUUGGAAACAGAUGCUAAUACCGAAUAAAACUUAGUAUCGCAUGAUACAAAGUUGAAAGGCGCUACGGCGUCACCUAGAGAUGGGUCCGCGGUGCAUUAGUUAGUUGGUGGGGUAAAGGCCUACCAAGACAAUGAUGCAUAGCCGAGUUGAGAGACUGAUCGGCCACAUUGGGACUGAGACACGGCCCAAACUCCUACGGGAGGCUGCAGUAGGGAAUCUUCCACAAUGGGCGAAAGCCUGAUGGAGCAACGCCGCGUGUGUGAUGAAGGCUUUAGGGUCGUAAAGCACUGUUGUAUGGGAAGAAAUGCUAGAAUAGGGAAUGAUUCUAGUUCGACGGUACCAUACCAGAAAGGGACGGCUAAAUACGUGCCAGCAGCCGCGGUAAUACGUAUGUCCCGAGCGUUAUCCGGAUUUAUUGGGCGUAAAGCGAGCGCAGACGGUUGAUUAAGUCUGAUGUGAAAGCCCGGAGCUCAACUCCGGAAUGGCAUUGGAAACUGGUUAACUUGAGUGUUGUAGAGGUAAGUGGAACUCCAUGUGUAGCGGUGGAAUGCGUAGAUAUAUGGAAGAACACCAGUGGCGAAGGCGGCUUACUGGACAACAACUGACGUUGAGGCUCGAAAG